UUAAGCGACUAAGCGUACACGGUGGAUGCCCUGGCAGUCAGAGGCGAUGAAGGACGUGCUAAUCUGCGAAAAGCGUCGGUAAGGUGAUAUGAACCGUUAUAGCCGGCGAUGUCCGAAUGGGGAAACCCAGUGCAAUUCGUUGCACUAUCGUUAACUGAAUACAUAGGUUAACGAGGCGAACCGGGGGAACUGAAACAUCUAAGUACCCCGAGGAAAAGAAAUCAACCGAGAUUCCCCCAGUAGCGGCGAGCGAACGGGGAGCAGCCCAGAGUCUGAAUCAGCUUGUGUGUUAGUGGAACGGUCUGGAAAGUCCGACGGUACAGGGUGAUAGUCCCGUACACCAAAAUGCACAGGCUGUGAACUCGAAGAGUAGGGCGGGACACGUGGUAUCCUGUCUGAAUAUGGGGGGACCAUCCUCCAAGGCUAAAUACUCCUGACUGACCGAUAGUGAACCAGUACCGUGAGGGAAAGGCGAAAAGAACCCCGGCGAGGGGAGUGAAAAAGAACCUGAAACCGUGUACGUACAAGCAGUGGGAGCACCUUCGGGUGUGACUGCGUACCUUUUGUAUAAUGGGUCAGCGACUUAUAUUCUGUAGCAAGGUUAACCGUAUAGGGGAGCCGCAGGGAAACCGAGUCUUAACUGGGCGUUAAGUUGCAGGGUAUAGACCCGAAACCCGGUGAUCUAGCCAUGGGCAGGUUGAAGGUUGGGUAACACUAACUGGAGGACCGAACCGACUAAUGUUGAAAAAUUAGCGGAUGACUUGUGGCUGGGGGUGAAAGGCCAAUCAAACCGGGAGAUAGCUGGUUCUCCCCGAAAGCUAUUUAGGUAGCGCCUCGUGAACUCAUCUUCGGGGGUAGAGCACUGUUUCGGCUAGGGGGUCAUCCCGACUUACCAACCCGAUGCAAACUACGAAUACCGAAGAAUGUUAUCACGGGAGACACACGGCGGGUGCUAACGUCCGUCGUGAAGAGGGAAACAACCCAGACCGCCAGCUAAGGUCCCAAAGUCAUGGUUAAGUGGGAAACGAUGUGGGAAGGCACAGACAGCCAGGAUGUUGGCUUAGAAGCAGCCAUCAUUUAAAGAAAGCGUAAUAGCUCACUGGUCGAGUCGGCCUGCGCGGAAGAUGUAACGGGGCUAAACCAUGCACCGAAGCUGCGGCAGCGACACUAUGUGUUGUUGGGUAGGGGAGCGUUCUGUAAGCCUGCGAAGGUGUGCUGUGAGGCAUGCUGGAGGUAUCAGAAGUGCGAAUGCUGACAUAAGUAACGAUAAAGCGGGUGAAAAGCCCGCUCGCCGGAAGACCAAGGGUUCCUGUCCAACGUUAAUCGGGGCAGGGUGAGUCGACCCCUAAGGCGAGGCCGAAAGGCGUAGUCGAUGGGAAACAGGUUAAUAUUCCUGUACUUGGUGUUACUGCGAAGGGGGGACGGAGAAGGCUAUGUUAGCCGGGCGACGGUUGUCCCGGUUUAAGCAUGUAGGCUGGUUGUCCAGGCAAAUCCGGAUAAUCAAGGCUGAGGUGUGAUGACGAGGCACUACGGUGCUGAAGUAACAAAUGCCCUGCUUCCAGGAAAAGCCUCUAAGCAUCAGGUAACAUUAAAUCGUACCCCAAACCGACACAGGUGGUCAGGUAGAGAAUACCAAGGCGCUUGAGAGAACUCGGGUGAAGGAACUAGGCAAAAUGGUGCCGUAACUUCGGGAGAAGGCACGCUGGUGUGUAGGUGAAGUCCCUGCGGAUGGAGCUGAGACCAGUCGAAGAUACCAGCUGGCUGCAACUGUUUAUUAAAAACACAGCACUGUGCAAACACGAAAGUGGACGUAUACGGUGUGACGCCUGCCCGGUGCCGGAAGGUUAAUUGAUGGGGUUAUCCGUAAGGAGAAGCUCUUGAUCGAAGCCCCGGUAAACGGCGGCCGUAACUAUAACGGUCCUAAGGUAGCGAAAUUCCUUGUCGGGUAAGUUCCGACCUGCACGAAUGGCGUAAUGAUGGCCAGGCUGUCUCCACCCGAGACUCAGUGAAAUUGAACUCGCUGUGAAGAUGCAGUGUACCCGCGGCAAGACGGAAAGACCCCGUGAACCUUUACUAUAGCUUGACACUGAACAUUGAGCCUUGAUGUGUAGGAUAGGUGGGAGGCUUUGAAGCGUGGACGCCAGUCUGCGUGGAGCCAACCUUGAAAUACCACCCUUUAAUGUUUGAUGUUCUAACGUUGGCCCCUGACCGGGGUUGCGGACAGUGUCUGGUGGGUAGUUUGACUGGGGCGGUCUCCUCCUAAAGCGUAACGGAGGAGCACGAAGGUUAGCUAAUCCUGGUCGGACAUCAGGAGGUUAGUGCAAUGGCAUAAGCUAGCUUGACUGCGAGCGUGACGGCGCGAGCAGGUGCGAAAGCAGGUCAUAGUGAUCCGGUGGUUCUGAAUGGAAGGGCCAUCGCUCAACGGAUAAAAGGUACUCCGGGGAUAACAGGCUGAUACCGCCCAAGAGUUCAUAUCGACGGCGGUGUUUGGCACCUCGAUGUCGGCUCAUCACAUCCUGGGGCUGAAGUAGGUCCCAAGGGUAUGGCUGUUCGCCAUUUAAAGUGGUACGCGAGCUGGGUUUAGAACGUCGUGAGACAGUUCGGUCCCUAUCUGCCGUGGGCGCUGGAGAAUUGAGGGGGGCUGCUCCUAGUACGAGAGGACCGGAGUGGACGCAUCACUGGUGUUCGGGUUGUCAUGCCAAUGGCACUGCCCGGUAGCUAAAUGCGGAAGAGAUAAGUGCUGAAAGCAUCUAAGCACGAAACUUGCCCCGAGAUGAGUUCUCCCUGAGACUUUAAGUCUCCUGAAGGAACGUUGAAGACGACGACGUUGAUAGGCCGGGUGUGUAAGCGCAGCGAUGCGUUGAGCUAACCGGUACUAAUGAACCGUGAGGCUUAACCUU
rnacentral:rRNA from 1 species